UCCUCCAUCAUGGUCUAGCCCAGGAGACUGGAUAGUGUUCCCUGUGCUGGACAGCAGGACCUCAUUGCUUAUCUAUUCUCAGUGUCAUAGUUUGCAUCUGCAAACCCCAGACUGAGGCUCUUUUCAAAACAGUCUCUGUGCCAAAUGCUUUCACCAUUGUGUUUAUCUCUGGCUGCAAAGAGCUUCACCCCAGUGGGAUCUUAGAGGCUUCACGGGCACACAUAAGCUCUCCAGCUCCCAGGGUCCGGGAUCCAGGCACAGCUUAGCCGACUCCUCUGCUUCAGGCUGCAAAGCCACGCUUCGAAAAGCUGCGUCUGAAGACCUGACUCAUCUUCCUGGACGUUGGUUCCGUCCGUAGCCGUCAACCUGGAAGGGGGGCAGGCAGCUGAGCAGGAACCAACCAAGAUGGCAGCCUAUGGGCCAAAUUGGGUACCAUUUCUGGCUCUUUCUUCUCACAAGGGCGUAUGGAGGAAAGAAAAAAAAAAAAAAGAGCUGCCCGAAUGUAAAAAUAAUUUAGAAAAACCCCACACCUGUAUUUUGUGUGGAUUCAGGUCAAAUAUUUGUACAGAAGGAGCUGCGUUCCCAACUCUCCAUGCCCUGCUGUCUUUUCUAUUUCCAAAUAACAAAGGCCGGCUUGAAGAGGAAGAUGUCACAGCCCCAAACAAAACACAAAGAGGCGUUGUGGAAAACGGCCACGGGAGAAGCUCAGAUCUGAGGCACAGUCAGAGGUGUGCCAGACACAAAGGCGGGACCCUUCCCAAGAAGCUGCUCGAAACAAUGCCAUCCCUGUGGCCAACCCAGCUGGACGUCGACCAGGACGAAAGAACGGGAUGGGGGGAGGGGAGCGGGGCUGCAAAGGGAUAAGUCCUCCUGCAAUAAAAAUUCCUACACCAUGUGGCAGUUUAAAUAGGAGAAAAACACAGCCUGUUGGGAGAAAAUUGGACGAGAGGAAUGAAAAGCCAAAACAACGCCCAGGGUGAACAAAAUGCCUCUACAGGAGGCACUGAAGCGCUUUGAAAUCAGACCCGUCCUCGGCAAAAAUCACGUUUUCUAUUUUUUGUUUAAGUGCAGAAGGCAAAUACACAGAUUGCUCCCCGUGAAGGAAAAACACGAACAGACCGUAGCAGAGAAUUUCACGUCUCUCAAAUUUUUUCAGUAAAUGCUAUUCCCGGCUUUCUGUCACGAGGGUUUUAAAAGUUGAAUUUUGAUUGCAUUCAAUGGUUAAUACACUAAAAUACAAAAAA